GUGCUAGCUUCGGCAGCACGUAUACUAAAACUGGAAUGAUACAUAGAAGAUUAGCAUGGCCCCUGCACAAAGAUGACACACACAUUUGUAAAGUGUUCCAUAUCUUU
ensembl:snRNA U6 U6 spliceosomal RNA